rnacentral:snRNA from 1 species
GGAUGUGAGGGCGAUCUGGCUGCGACAUCUGUCACCCCAUUGAUCGCCAGGGUUGAUUCGGCUGAUCUGGCUGGCUAGGCGGGUGUCCCCUUCCUCCCUCACCGCUCCAUGUGCGUCCCUCCCGAAGCUGCGCUGGGUCGAAGAGGACGACCAUCCCCGAUAGAGGAGGACCGUUCUUCGGUCAAGGGUAUACGAGUAGCUGCGCUCCCCUGCUAGAACCUCCAAACAAGCUCUCAAGGAGAUAGGCAGGAAGGGGUGGUGGUCUGAGAGACAGGCUAAACAGCCCUUGGAGAGGCAUUCCAGCCUCCCCAG